UCGGGUCGUGUACGAUAAUUUGUGGCCAGUGUGCUCGUGUAUACUAGAAAAUUUGCACAAAACGGCUGAAAAAAAUUAUGACAUUUUAUUAGUUGAAUAAGUACGAGAGCAUGAGUGCUUACAUAAUAUGAAAAGCAAGUACUAUCGACGCCAAAACGUGAGAGGCGAAGCGUUAGAAGAAAUCGCUCAAAAUAUGGACUGAUAAACAAAAAAUAUUAUUUAGGGGAAAGAACGAUUUCUCGAGACCGGUGAGCACUUUCAAUCGUUUCAUUAUUACUUUCGAGUUGGGGCAACGACUAUAGGACAAAUAGUAAUGGAGACAUGCAAGGCGAUCUAGGAUAAUUUGUCACCAAUUUAUAUGACUACUCCUACAAGAGACAAAUGACAAUGAUGGCGUGGCGUUGGCCUGCCGCCAACCGCAAAGAAAAGAAGAUCGAAGAUCGGUGCAUACCCGCUCGCUUUUGCAGGAAUACCAACCAGAUAGACCGGUUUGAAGCGUGGUUUUAACCCGUCACUACGCCUUUUACGGACUUUUAAAUUUUUAACCACGUUUUCAAAUCACUAUAGCAAUUUCAUGUACGUAGAUAAAUAAUUAAUUACAAAAAAAUUAACAAAAAGUUUGGUGGAUAUCAGUAGGAGGCAUCAUAAAAUGUUUCCUAAUUUAUUUCCACUGUCCUCUACCAAAAAACAACCAAAUAUUAGCAAGAGACACCCGUAUCAAAGCCCGAUCUUUUUAUCUCUAUAGCCGCGGUGUAUUUUAUGUGAUUAGCUUUGGACACCUCAACAGGUAGUAGAUGGUAUAAAUAUUAUUCUCCGGCCCUCUGGGUGAUUAAAAUAAUCGAAAAGCCCCAUUUAUAACCAUUAUUUCGCCUAAUCGUUUUCGGUCAUCAAUUCUUUCAUUCUUUGCCUAAAAUCAAGACAAGGGACACGUCUUUUAUCCUUUUUGGGUAUUCAGUUUUUUUUCGUUGUUUUCGAAGCGGACUAUUAAUACAAGUCUCAUGCAGGACCGGCUUUUAAGUUUUUGAUGAUGGAUUUGUGAAAAUGCCAAAUAGGUCAUCCCUCGUGCCUUAGAUAUAAUAUUCAAAAUAAUUAUACGUAGGAGAUGGGCUUUACCAGAAAAAUAUAUUUUAUGAAUAAUUUUGGACGUAAGAAGUAACAGAGUGAUAUAUUCAACACCAAAUUAUAAAUUAUUAUGUUUUUGGACCAAUAUUGCCUUCUUAGGUUUUAUUAAGAAUUUUCACUUUAUCGAGCAUUUCUUUUUCAGGUCCCUACAUAUGUGUUUCAGAUGUUGGCAAUGAUGCUUUUUUGUAAUCUUGUACUUCUACUGAGUUUUUCCCAAAUCAAGUUCGUAGAUUUCACAGCCGUGAUGUUUCUUCUUCUUCCAAGCCUUUUACCUAAUUAUUUCCUUGUAUUAUGAUUUGCUGUAGAGAGUAUCGAUCUUUAUUUCUCAUAAACCUUCUGAUAUACCAGCUUUAAAUAAGCCUAGGCAAUGUCAGGAAAGUUUUGUUUCUUUUGUUAUGGAUCCUAAAAAGGGAACUGGUCCAGAUGGAAUUUCUUCAUUUUUUCUGUCUUGUACAAACAAUGUUUGUCCAGUGACAUUUUUCCCAAUACUUGAAAAAUAGUUUAACUUUUGCCUGUAUUCAAGUCUGGGGAAAUAAAUUCCGUUAAAAAGUACAGGCCAAUUUCCUUACUUAGUUUCUUUCCGAACCCAUUCGAAUCUCUACUACUUAAGCAAGUAUUUUUUAGGGUCAAAGAAGUUAUCGACUUUAACCAACAAUUUUUUCAAAAAAAAAACCUAAUACCAUUUAUUCAGAGUGUAAACGAAAAUAUGGAAAAAGGUCUGGAAACAUGUGCCGUGUACACCGACUUUUCCAAGACUUUUGAUAAGGUUUAUCACAUUUUUCAAAAAGUUGGAGAAUUUUGGUGUGCACGGGGUCUUACUUAUUGGUCUCACCCUCAUAAAAAAUUACCUAACGAAUCGCUCUCAGGAUGCCGCCAUAAAUAGAGUAAAAUCUUCCUGCACUAUCGUAACUUCAGGAGUACCGCAGGAUUCUCAUUUGGGACCGAUAUUGCUUUCAACUUUUUUAAAUGGCAUUCGUCAAUGUUUUUCAAUUUCAAUAUCUUGCAUAUGCAAAUUUUGUAAUAAUCUUCAUAACAAUUAAGCAGGUACCAGAUUUUCUUUCCCUGAAAUCUGAGCUAAUCUUAAAAGGUAUGGUAAUUUAAAGAAAUUAUUGAUUAAUCGAGAUAAAUGUCAUUCAAUACUCUUUAGUAGAAAACUAGUUCAAACACAAGACAAAUGUGAUGUCUAUCUUGGAGACACUACCUUAACAUAUGUGGAGUAUAUUAAGGAUUUAGUUAUGGCAUGGAUUAUAAACUGCUUUUUAACAUUCAUAGAAAAAAACAUUGUUCUAAAAGCUCUAAAAAAUCUAGGUUUUAUAUCUCGAAUUAAAAAGGAUUUCAGUAAUGAAAUAUCAUUAAUAUUGUUAUA